rnacentral:rRNA from 1 species
UACAGAGGUCUCAAGCGUUGUUCGGAUUCAUUGGGCGUAAAGGGCGCGUAGGUGGCCCGGUCAGUUCGUGGUGAAAGCGCGGGGCUCAACCCUGCGUCGGCCAUGAAUACUGCCGCGGCUGGAGCACUGUAGAGGCAGGCGGAAUUCCGGGUGUAGCGGUGGAAUGCGUAGAGAUCGGGAAGAACAUCAGUGGCGAAGGCGGCCUGCUGGGCUGUUGCUGACGCUGAGGCGCGACAGCGUGGGGAGCAAACAGG